GGCGCGAGUUGGACUGUGAAGAAACAUGGCGGCCGCGACGUUGACUUCGAAAUUGUACUCCCUGCUGUUCCGCAGGACCUCCACCUUCGCCCUCACCAUCAUCGUGGGCGUCAUGUUCUUCGAGCGCGCCUUCGAUCAAGGCGCGGACGCUAUCUACGACCACAUCAACGAGGGGGUGAGGGCCUGUGCCAUCCCUGACCUUGGACCCGCCUGAGGGGUGACAGUGGAGUAGAGAAGCUGUGGAAACACAUCAAGCACAAGUAUGAGAACAAGUAGUUCCUUGGAGGCCCCCAUCCAGGCCAGAAGGACCAGGUCCACCCAGCAGCUGUUUGCCCAGAGCUGGAGCCUCAGCUUGAAGAUGAUGCUCAAGGUACUCUUCAUGGACCACCAUUCGCUGUUGGCAAGAAACGGCUUUACUUACAAAACAGACUCUUUACCUUCUGCUGUGUUUGAAGUAUGUUUAGUCAGCAUGCUCAGGAAAUAAAUGUGAAUUGCCCUUGAGACCUGCUUCUACAUUGGUUGCUUUGUUAACUCUACCUGAUCUUCACUUGUCAGUAAUUUGAGACCACUUCAAAGCCCUCUGC
rnacentral:lncRNA from 1 species